UACGUAUGUCGCAAGCGUUAUCCGGAUUUAUUGGGCGUAAAGCGCGUCUAGGCGGUUUAGUAAGUCUGAUGUGAAAAUGCGGGGCUCAACCCCGUAUUGCGUUGGAAACUGCUAAACUAGAGUACUGGAGAGGUAGGCGGAACUACAAGUGUAGAGGUGAAAUUCGUAGAUAUUUGUAGGAAUGCCGAUGGGGAAGCCAGCCUACUGGACAGAUACUGACGCUAAAGCGCGAAAGCGUGGGUAGCAAACAGG
rnacentral:rRNA from 2 species